AGAUUACGGAGAUGGUGUCUGACUUGCCUAUGUUCGACGGCAGUUGUGAUAAGCAAUUGCUUUAGAUGGAAAUGAAAUAGCUGGCGCAAUCGCAACCCGAUGGUCACGACAUCGAGAGCUUGGUCAAGACAACCAUCUUGUAGAUGAGCCCGCUAGUGGUGAUGAUGAUGGGGAGCACGUGUCAAACACACAACAACAUGAUUGAAAUUUAAGUAUUUUACUAACUUAUGAAUUUUUUGGUUGAUUUAAAAAAAUGUAAAAAUAUUUGGUGGAUGUUUGUGAAUGUUGAAGUAGUUUGAUGUUAUUGACCGACUUAAUGUAGACAAGUUUAAUGUUUUGGAUGUUUGUAAAGGUUGAAGUA